GCUGAGUUCAGAGCCUCGUUCUCCAUCUGCGUGGUGAUGAUAUAUCCCUUCGGUUCCUGAGUCACAACGGUGUGGCCAGUUGUACUUGAGCAGACUGCCAGCGAAGACCACACUGUUGUCUCCUGGCUGGAGGAAGAUGGCGGGAGGCAGGAGAGUGUUGUUGGAGAACCUCCAGACUCUCUAGCCUGGGUGGCAGGUCCCUCAGCACCAUGGCCCCUAAGCGCUGGAAUUCCCUCCCUCAACCCCUCUGUGACUGCUCCUUCUUUCCUCCAUUCAAAGCUCAGCUCAAGACCUUUCUGUUUCAUGAACACUUUAAAGGAGAAAUCCGGUGAGUUUUUCACUUCCGUUU